rnacentral:rRNA from 1 species
CGCCUCUUGUAAAAGAAGAAAAAUAAGAGGUCCCGCCUGCCCUGUGACUAUAUGUUUAACGGCCGCGGUAUUUUGACCGUGCGAAGGUAGCGCAAUCACUUGUCUUUUAAAUGGAGACCUGUAUGAAUGGCAAGACGAAGGCUUAACUGUCUCCUUUUCCAAGUCAAUGAAAUUGAUCUCCCCGUGCAGAAGCGGGUAUAAUAACAUAAGACGAGAAGACCCUAUGGAGCUUCAGACACUAAAGUAGAUCAUACCCUCUGUAAUUAAACAAAAACAAUGCAAGCCUAAUGAUACCUCCCCUAAUGUCUUUGGUUGGGGCGACCAUGGGGAAACAAAAAACCCCCACAUGGAGUGGGCACACAGUUCCUAUAAACAAGAGCCACAGCUCUAAUUACCAAUAUUUUUGACCAAUAAAGAUCCGGCAAUGCCGAUUAAUGAACCAAGUUACCCUAGGGAUAACAGCGCAAUCCCCUUUAAGAGUCCAUAUCGACAAGGGGGUUUACGACCUCGAUGUUGGAUCAGGACAUCCUAAUGGUGCAGCCGCUAUUAAGGGUUCGUUUGUUCAACGAUUAACAGUCCU